rnacentral:rRNA from 1 species
GACGAACGCUGGCGGCGUGCUUAACACAUGCAAGUCGAACGGAAAGGCCUGCUUUCCCUUGUGGAUUGCGGGUACUCGGGUGGCGAACGGGUGAGUAACACGUGAGUGAUCUGCCCCCAACUUGGGUAUAAGCCUGGGAAACUGGGUCUAAUUCCCGAUAGGACUGCAGGGUGGUGCCUGUGGUGGAAAACGAUUUUCUAGUGGUUGGGGAUGAGCUCGCGGCCUAUCAGCUUGUUGGUGGGGUAAUGGCCUACCAAGGCGGCGACGGGUAGCCGGCCUGGGGGGGUGGACGGCCACAUUGGGACUGAGAUACGGCCCAGACUCCUACGGGAGGCAGCAGUGGGGAAUAUUGCACAAUGGGCGGAAGCCUGAUGCAGCGACGCCGCGUGGGGGAUGACGGCCUUCGGGUUGUAAACUCCUUUCGACCGCGAGGAAGCCACCUGGUUGGAAGGGUGGUGACGGUAGUGGUAGAAGAAGCACCGGCUAACUACGUG